AGGAAGCGGGGUGAGGGGAGAGAUCUGCGCCGAGACUGGGUCCUCCAAGGGGAGGGCAUAGGCGGGGGUCUGCUGCCGGAACCGCAAAAGUAGGGGGUCUUCCAGUGGAAACCAAACCGGAGCGUGGAUGACACGCACAUGGUUUAUGGCGGCUGGGUCAGCAGCUCCCAGCGCAGCCGGCGUAGACAAAGCAGGAAGCUCAGCUGGCACAGAUCCUGCCUUUGGACUUUGCUGUUCACAACAUCCAGCCAGGAGAUUGGGUCCUAGUUAAGGAGCGGAAAGAAGCACCUCUGGUGGCUAAGUGGCAUGAACCUUUCCAAGUGUUACUGACCACAGAAACAGCCGUCAAGACAGCUGAACACGGGUCGACCCAUCACACUCGGGUCAAGGUCUCGGAGGCCCUGGAGAUUUAGACAGCUCGGCUGGAGGAGAAGGAUGGGAAGCCGUGACUGACACUCCGCAGGAGUGGACUGGAGCAGUAGCCAGUGCGUUGACCUUGGGAGAAGCCCUGUGUGCCUACCCACAGACUGCCUGUUGAAGCAGCUUGUGUGGGCAUCCCUCCUCUCAGAUCUCUAGUCAUUGGGGGCUAAUCCUCACUGUCAUUGUUUUCUUUAUGUUAAGCUGUUUCUGUGCCUUCUCUUGCCACAGGUGGUGCAGAAGACAACGUGAAACUGAAAAUUAGGUUAGGAGAUUAGAUUGCACUGUUAGAAUGUUUCUCUUAAUGAUCUUACCCUUAUAUUGUCGGUUAGGUUGUGGCCAAAGGUGUGAAAAUAAUUUUUUUAACCUUGGGAGAAGCGGCAAAACCCUUUAACCUUAGUAGUUGUUGGGUCUGCGGAGAGCCAGGGGGAUCUGAAAGCUGGCCAUGGGUGGCCAUCCCAGCCGAGCCUAAAUGGUGGGUUAGCACCCUGAGUGAGGUCCAUAAGGAAACAGGAUUUUGGGAUUAGGAAGGAAGUCCAUAGCAGCUUCAUUCUUCUGAAAGAAGUAUUUAUUGCCUAAAUAGAACAGGAAACAUAUAUGUGGGAAAAAGCAUUUGUGACUGGACUUUAUCUUUGGGUUUAAAUUGUGGGACCCCCAACUGCUCUGGUUAUGAUUGUUCCAGAUAUCAAGGCAGAUGGAAUCAAACGCAUGUUAAGCUCCCUCAUGGCAGCUGGGUAAGGUGUUCCUUCCAUAAUUACUGAAAGGAUUUUGAAGGCUAUAAAGCAGUGGUGAAGGAUAAGUUCUUUUGAUCCUGUAUUUUUAAGUUGCUUCUGAGAUAGUUCCACAAGUAGGACACAUGUUGUCCAUGAUUAUCGGUGGAAGUGGCAACACUGGAACGGAACUCACACCCUUUUUAAUAGGUUCUGAUACGGAUCUAAUAAGACAGGCCUGGGGUGUACCUGCAGGUGGAAACCUCAGGUGGAAGCUUGGAAAUGCAUAUACUGUGAUUCUUAUGGCGGGGUAGCUAUUGUUGGGGGACCACUAGGCCCAGGAAGCAAGCUGUAUUUUGACCCACCCAUUGAUGAUGAAAAUUGGAAAGGUCCCUUUGCCAACGGGACCUGGGCUUUUAAAGGGCAUUACCGGAUUUGUGGCCGAUAUACUUACCCCAGGUUACCCCCAAACUGGUCAGGGAUUUGUUAUGCAGGGUAUAUUAGACCAUUGUUCUUUCUGCUACCACAAGUUCAAGGAAAUCAGUUAGGAAUCAAGGUAUAUGAUGAUCUAAUUAGAGAAAAGCGGUCAAUUGAUCUGUCUUUGGUUGGGGGGAGCACCCAAAAGUGGGGUGAAGAUGAAUGGCCACCUGAACGAAUGAUACAACACUAUGGACCAGCCACAUGGAAUCCUAAUGAAUUAAUAUCAGGUGCCAGAGAACCCAUUUAUAAUUUAAAUCGGAUAAUUAGGUUACAAGCUGUCUUUGAAGUAAUAAUGAACCAGACAUGUGCAGCUCUUCCUACCUCCUUGCUGACCAAUCUACUCAGAUGAGAAAUGCAAGAUUACAACAUUGGAUGGUAUUAGACUAUUUAUUAGCAGAAGAAGGCGGAGUGUGUGGCAAAUUAAAUGACUCAAACUGCUGUUUGCAAAUAGAUGACAAUGGAAUGGUAGUAAAACAAAUAACAAAAGGAAUAAGAGAGUUAGCUCAUGUACUGGUCCAAACAUGGAAAGGAUGGGAAUGGGACAUGUUUUUGUGGUAACCUGGUGGACUAUGGGUUAAACAGAUGCCAUUUUUUUCCCCUCUUUUGUGCUGUAACUACUCUAAUCUUUUUACCAUCCAUGAUCCCUUGCUUAGUACAACUUAUUCAACAUGUGAUCAAAGGGAUGCAGGUAAUAGCCAUGCCUACUGAUCCAGAGAUGGCUACAAAAGGACAGAAACUGAUGUCUCUGCAAGUAAUUGCAAAACCAAAAGAGACCCAGGAACAGGAAAUUAGGUCAAUGAUAACUAAAGUUUGUAAAGACAAUUAUUAAAAAUAAAAGAGGAGGGAUUGAGAGGCAUAGCAGAUUUGUCUUUACAAACAAGCUGUGGUCUGCUGGUAGAUAAAACUAGCACUGGGCGUGUAAUAUGUGAUGUAGGGUAAUUCAUGCUUAUGUGAAAAAUGUAUAAAAUAAAAAUUGUAAAAUAAAUUAUACCUGUAACAAAAAUCCAAAGACUCUAGGACCACCGACCGUCCAGAGACAGAUCACAACAUAGAAGUUGUGAAACUCCUGGUGGCAGCAGGGAAGAAUGCCUUGUUAGCAAGCAAAAGGACGUGGCCAGUACGGAGGUGGGCUUCUUCCGGAACCAUCCGGGAACACCCAAGAGCGAUCAACAAUUGAUAAGUAUCCUCAAUCAAGAUAACUGAAGUCAUCAAGAACAUACAUCUAAACACCUGACUUCCCAUGACAUGAUUAACACCCACCACCUCCCAAGAAACAGCAUUGUCCAGCCCUGUACAGUGAAAAGAAACUUCAUGUAUAUGUGGGUGACAAAAGGAAUGGGGGUACCUCUGCCUCAAGCAGAAAAAACUGCAUAAAACCAGCCCCACUGGAGAUGGCAUUUGUGAACAGAGGGGGCUCCAAUGGGAUAGAGGUCAGAUCUAGGUUCACCCAGCGCCAAUCCCAGGCUCAACGCUGUCUCUUUGACUGUGGCUAUCGAGGACCGUAUUUUCAGUUGUGGAAAUAAAAUCUUUCGCUAUCAUUAUUAA